rnacentral:tRNA from 1 species
GGUAAGAUGGCUGAGUGUUUAAGCGGCAGGCUGUAGUCCUGUAGAUAGAGGUUUAAUUCCUCUUCUUACCA